rnacentral:rRNA from 1 species
ACUCCUACGGAAGGCAGCAGUCGAGAAUCUUCCGCAAUGGACGCAAGUCUGACGGAGCGACGCCGCGUGCGGGAUGAAGGUCUUUGGAUUGUAAACCGCUGUCACGCGUUAAGAACUCGCAGGGCCCAACACGCCCUGCGUUGACGAAGGCGCGAGAGGAAGCCACGGCUAACUCUGUGCCAGCAGCCGCGGUAAU